rnacentral:rRNA from 1 species
UACGUAGGGGGCUAGCGUUGUCCGGAAUCAUUGGGCGUAAAGCGCGUGUAGGCGGUCCGGUAAGUCCGCUGUGAAAGUCGGGGGCUCAACCCUCGAAAGCCGGUGGAUACUGUCGGGCUCGAGUACGGAAGAGGCGAGUGGAAUUCCUGGUGUAGCGGUGAAAUGCGCAGAUAUCGUAAGGAAGACCAGUGGCGAAGGCGAAUCUCUGGACAGCUACUGACACUGAGGCACGAAGGCCAGGGGAGCAAACGGG